UCCGUUUAAAUCAGGAUUCAGGCAACCUGGUUUUAAAGAAUUGACAAUAACAGGAGAGACCUAAAAAUACUCAAGGAUGCAAAGAAAGGCCGCCUUCAUGGUGUCGCAAUUUUAGUGACCAGCAGAGUAAAACCACAAAUACUUCACUACCAGGAAGAACAUUUUUCACCUUAUUCAUGUAAAUUAUCCAUCUGUAGUUAUUACUCAACUAUUUAUUUAGCUAUCGAAAUAUUUUCCUAUCCAAAAGGUACAGACAAAAUACAUUUUCGAAACAAA